GAGUUUGAUCCUGGCUCAGGAUGAACGCUGGCGGCGUGCCUAAUACAUGCAAGUCGAGCGAACAGAUAAGGAGCUUGCUCCUUUGACGUUAGCGGCGGACGGGUGAGUAACACGUGGGUAACCUACCUAUAAGACUGGAAUAACUCCGGGAAACCGGGGCUAAUGCCGGAUAACAUGUUGAACCGCAUGGUUCUACAGUGAAAGGCGGCUUUGCUGUCACUUAUAGAUGGACCCGCGCCGUAUUAGCUAGUUGGUGAGGUAACGGCUCACCAAGGCAACGAUACGUAGCCGACCUGAGAGGGUGAUCGGCCACACUGGAACUGAGACACGGUCCAGACUCCUACGGGAGGCAGCAGUAGGGAAUCUUCCGCAAUGGGCGAAAGCCUGACGGAGCAACGCCGCGUGAGUGAUGAAGGUCUUCGGAUCGUAAAACUCUGUUAUUAGGGAAGAACAAAUGCGUAAGUAACUGUGCGCGUCUUGACGGUACCUAAUCAGAAAGCCACGGCUAACUACGUGCCAGCAGCCGCGGUAAUACGUAGGUGGCAAGCGUUAUCCGGAAUUAUUGGGCGUAAAGCGCGCGUAGGCGGUUUUUUAAGUCUGAUGUGAAAGCCCACGGCUCAACCGUGGAGGGUCAUUGGAAACUGAAAAACUUGAGUGCAGAAGAGGAAAGUGGAAUUCCAUGUGUAGCGGUGAAAUGCGCAGAGAUAUGGAGGAACACCAGUGGCGAAGGCGACUUUCUGGUCUGUAACUGACGCUGAUGUGCGAAAGCGUGGGGAUCAAACAGGAUUAGAUACCCUGGUAGUC
rnacentral:rRNA from 1 species